rnacentral:rRNA from 1 species
GAUGAACGCUAGCGAUAGGCUUAACACAUGCAAGUCGAGGGGCAGCAUGGUCUUAGCUUGCUAAGACUGAUGGCGACCGGCGCACGGGUGCGUAACGCGUAUGCAACUUGCCUCACAGAGGGGGAUAACCCGUCGAAAGACGGACUAAUACCGCGUACACUCCAUCUUGGGCAUCCAAGGUAGAGGAAAUGAAAUUCGCUGUGAGAUAGGCAUGCGUCCCAUUAGUUAGUUGGUGAGGUAACGGCUCACCAAGGCGACGAUGGGUAGGGGAACUGAGAGGUUGAACCCCCACACUGGUACUGAGACACGGACCAGACUCCUACGGGAGGCAGCAGUGAGGAAUAUUGGUCAAUGGGCGAGAGCCUGAACCAGCCAAGUCGCGUGAAGGAUGACUGUCUUAGGGAUUGUAAACUUCUUUUAGACGGGAAUAACAAGAGUCACGUGUGACUCCCUGCAUGUACCGUAUGAAUAAGCAUCGGCUAACUCCGUG